GUCUAUAUGGGGUAAUAUAUAGUCUGGCCUGCUCACUGAAUUUUAAGUUUAAAGAGCCGCAGUAUUUUAACUGUGCAAAGGUAGCAAAAUCAUUAGUUUUUUAAUUGGAAACUUGUAUGAAUGGUUAAACAAAAGAAUUUCUGUCUCUUUGUUAAGAAUUGAAUUUAACUUUUAAGUGAAAAGGCUUAAAUUUUUUUAAGGGACGAUAAGACCCUAUAAAGCUUUAUAAUAAAAUAGGUUUUUAAAAAAUAAAUUAUAAAAGUAAAAUUUAUUUUUUUAUUUUAUUGGGGCGAUACGGAUAUAAAUGUUAUUAACUGUCAGAAUAAAAAUCACAUAUGUGUGAAAUAUAAUAUGAUCCUAAUUAAAGAUUAAAAGAUAAAGUUACUUUAGGGAUAACAGCGUAAUUUUUUUCAAGAGUUCUUAUCGAAAAAAAAGUUUGCGACCUCGAUGUUGAAUUAAAAUAUCUUUAUAGUGCAGCCGCUAUAGGGAGAAGGUCUGUUCGACCUUUAAAUUUUUACAUGAUUUGAGUUCAAACCGGUGUGAACCAGGUG
rnacentral:rRNA from 1 species